rnacentral:rRNA from 1 species
UCUUACGUUCCUAUAAAAGAAACUGCACGACGACUCGUGUAGGCCUUUUUCAUAUGGUGCUGGCGAAACCAAACAAUAAAUUGAAAGCACAAAUGGAAUGCUUCCAAAGAAUCUUUAGCAUGGACAACACCCGUAAAACGGUUGGAGCAAUCAACGGUAAAAAUGAAAGUCAACAUAAUAGAGCAAUCAAAAUACCGAAGUAUCCGACUUUGUACGCCCCCAAACACUUGGACAAGAGGAGGGGCGGUACAAAUGACAUCGUUGGACACCAUUUUCCAAACAGGGUCUGUUUUCUGCGACGGCAACACCAAACCUAGCAAAAUCCAAUGCGUAGGUAURAAACGGUUGUGGUACUCAUCAGUCGGCCGCAAAAAAGCGGGGGGCCUGACAUAGCACACACAUCAAUAACCACUCACAUGCCGUCACGGUCACAACCCGCCAAGGCCCUUCGCCUUUCCCCCACACGCUAAAU